AGGCUAUGAUGAUAUAUAAGUCAUGCACCACUCAGAGUGAUUUGAUUUUCAUCAAAUCAGUUGCUGAUAAACGACUCACCAUAACUAUUCUGAGCCU